rnacentral:rRNA from 1 species
CAAGUCGUACGGGGCCGCAAGGCACCCGUGGCGUAAGGGUGAGUAAGGCGACGGUAACCUACCCCAGGGCCGGGUAUAGCCGCGGGAAACCGCGGGUAAUCCCCGGCGACGCCGCGUUCCCGGCAUCGGGGGCCGGCCAAAGGUGUGAUUCCGCCCUGGGACGGGCCGUCGUGGUAUUAGGUUGUCGGCGGGGUAAUGGCCCACCAAGCCUCUGAUGCCUACCGGGCGUGCGAGCGUGGCCCGGCACACUGGGACUGAGACACUGCCCAGACUCCUACGGGAGGCUGCAGUCGAGAAUCUUCGGCAAUGGGCGCAAGCCCGACCGAGCGACGCCGCGUGGAGGACGAAGGCCUUCGGGUUGUAAACUCCUGUCGGGGGGGAACAAGGGGGCGUGCAGAACGUCUCUUGAGUGAUCCCCGGAGGAAGCACGGGCUAAGUUCGUGCCAGCAGCCGCGGUAAGACGAACCGUGCGAACGUUAUUCGGAAUUACUGGGCUUAAAGCGCGUGUAGGCGGGCCGGCACGUCGGCCGCUGAAAGCCCCCGGCUCAACCGGGGAAGCGGCGCCGAUACGACCGGCCUGGAGGGGGGUAGGGGGACCUGGAACUUCCGGUGGAGCGGUGAAAUGCGUUGAGAUCGGAAGGAACGCCCGUGGCGAAAGCGAGGUCCUGGACCCUUUCUGACGCUGAGACGCGAAAGCCAGGGGAGCGAACGGGAUUAGAUACCCCGGUAGUCCUGGCCGUAAACCAUGGGCACUGGGUAGGGGGCUC